UACGUAGGAGACGAGCGUUGUCCGGAGUUACUGGGCGUAAAGGGUGCGCAGGUGGCCGCGCGCGUGGGGGGUGAAAUCGCCUGGCUUAGCUGGGCGGGGGCCUUCCAGACGGCGUGGCUUGAGCAGCGGAGGGGGGCGUGGAAUUCCGGGUGGAGCGGUGAAAUGCGUAGAGAUCCGGAGGAACACCGACGGCGCAGGCAGCGCCCUGGUCGCUUGCUGACACUGAGGCACGAAAGCUGGGGGAGCAAACAGG
rnacentral:rRNA from 1 species